AUCGCAGGGCAAGAUUGCUGAGCAGCCUUGGGCUCACUGUCAGGGUGUGAGGGCUGGCUUUGCCCCCCUCCCCAGCAGCUUUUGCAGCACCCAAAAAAAUCCCCCAGUACAAAAGCCUGGAGCAGAAUUUGCCUGAUGAAUCUCUCUUCAGCCCCACAGCUCCUCAGUACCCGGGGUCUGUCUGGUUUCCCCGGGUAGGAGGCACCUCUCCUUUGCCCAGCUGAAAAUUCGGGCUGAGUUUUCACUCCGGCCUGACCCAACCUCUCCUCCUGGGGAACUUCAUGCUGCCCCCAGGGUGGUUUUAGCUCCAUCCAGGGCCCUGGCCUGGUGCAGAGCCGAGUGCUGCUUCUUCCUCAUCCUCGCCUGUGUCUGGCGCAGCCCUGCCUCACUGCCGCAACCCCACAUCUGCUGGAAUGAGCUGUGGCAGCCCCGGAUCUGCAGGACAUGCUGCCCUGAGCGGACAAUGCACCCCGCCAGCUUCUGCAGCUGCUGGAAGGAGGAGAUCCAGCCCACAUCCAGACCAUCCGCCCUUUUGCUUGCCCACCUCCAGAGGAGGAAGCCAUGGGAAAGUCAUGGAGUGCAGCUGACGAUCCCUAAACCUGCAAUUUAUGCGACUGGUGUAAUCUCCGCACAACUGUAACUGAUGAAUAUGCAUCAUAUCAUUUCUAUGCACGGCAGAAAGUAACCUACUUCUGGCCCCCAGCAAACUGCGGUAGGUCUGGCUGCACCUUCCUGCAGUGCCUGCAGUGGGCAUGUGGGAUUUUGGGCAAGGUGGGGAUGCCAUGUGAAAACCCUGAUUCC
rnacentral:lncRNA from 1 species